GUGCGUGUGUGUGUGUGUUUCCACAGCCUGGAGAGAAGGGUUCCCCGGAGGGAGAGCGAGAGACGGAGAGAGAGAGGAACCACGUGUCGUUCGCCCGACACCUCCACACACACCACCACACACACUUGGGUAUGAGCUACAACCUGAUGUCGGGGCAGUACGACAUCUACCAAGGGUUGAGCUCCAGGUCGCUGGUCUCCAGUCAGCAGGUGUCAGGACACUCCUCUACCGAGGCCGAAGGGAAGAAGUAGGACCAUGUGACCACGUCUCACAUGAGGAACGGCAGAUUUAUCAGACAUCAAUUCCAUGGUGUUGAAUAAGCUUCGCCUCGCUGAGAGGCAGAGAACAAGAAAAAAAAAACUCUUUCAUUUCUAAUGACAACCACCUGUUUUAUAACACGUCUCCCAGGAGCAGAUGGACGGACAGAGGGAUGGACGGGUGAAUGGACAGGACAGGAUGUGGACCUUGUUGAACUUCCUGUAUAAAUCCUGAAUCACAAACUUUUCAAGCUUCAGUUUGGCAGAGUUUGGACGGAUGCAGGCGACGCGUACGAAACAAAACAUCCCAGAGCGCAGCGCACGCAGCUCUUUAUGAAAUGCACAUUUAUCGUAGUGUAUUAUGACGAUGAUAUGACUGAAUGUAAUGAUGAUGACUUCAUUUAUCCCAAUAGUGUUGAUGGUUUUUAAAAACUUCUAUUGGGAAACAGCAGUAGGAAGCUAAAAAGUCUAUUAUUCUCCUUAUUAUUCUCAUGAUGAUUAUUGAAGUGGUCCUCCUCCCUCCAUAGUGCUGACGCUACAUUUGUAUUACUAACCUGUACUUGAGCGUAACCAUGUUGAUUGUAUUGUCUUUAUGUGAGAGUAAACUUCACAUCGACCUGCCCAGUGCCAUGUAGGAACCCAGCGGUGUAAAUAUUCUGUACAGAUUCAUGGCGGAGCACUAACAUGCUUUAUCGUACUCUAUGUUGAUCUCCAUCAGCCAUGCAGGGGAGCAGCAGGCGGAGCAGAGGAAGCAGCCGGGUCUGUCAGGGAGCUUCACUUCAUCUGCAGCUGCAUGUGGGAGAGAUUUCACUCCGACCGCAGGGCUCGGUUUUUAUUUCUUUCUUUUCAAACUUAACAUGAACCAAGCUUCAUGUGUUUCAUUUCAUCUGAUCUGUUAUUUUCAGUUUCACUUUGUGAUUUCGGAACUAGAGAAUUUUGUCUGACAUACGUACGUCCCGUCGUCAUCACCUACGUGGGCGUCGUCUACCUAUACUUGGCUCUGAUUGGUUUGUAGACGCGUUGUCAGUUGUCACACCUGAUGUUUGGGUUCGGUCUAAACUGAAAAGUCUGAAGGUGUCUGAACCCAACAAGGUGUGAAAGGGUCCAUUGUGAUAAAAGCAUUUUCAUAUUUAAUAAUUCAGUUGGAGAACAAAUUUCAAACGCACCUAUUCUAAACUGACGUUCUCUGAUUGACCGCGACCAAGUCAUGACUUGUUACGACAGAAUAGAGGAAACUGCUCAUCGUGAUUAAAAGAUAAGAAACAGGUGGAGAACGCAGAAGAAAAACACAAACUGAAAUGAGCUUCAAGUAAAAUGGCUAAAUACCGUCCGUGACCCCGUCUUCUCCAAAGUCCCACAAUCCUUUGCCCUGCCUCUGCUCCCAUGCCCUCUACAAGCUAACUAGCUCAGUGCAGAGCCUCUGAUAGACACGACAAUCUUUUAUUUUACCCACAUUCUGAAAUCUGGUGCUGUUGGUUUUUAACCACUGGAGACCUGGCUCCUGUAAUGAGAUCAUUGGUGCUGGACGUGUUACUGGAGGACGCCUCUAGGGGGCACCAGAGAGUUGGCGACAGACGCUUGUUGGCGACAGACGCUUAUUGUCGACGUCUAAAAUGGUGCUGAUCUGUCGCCAGAUAUUUGGACAAACAUAUUCCUCGCUUUGCAUCGUUGGUGACACAUCGUACAAAAUGAUUCUAUUUAUUUUUGCACAACCGCCGACACGAACCCAGAGACACAGUCCAGUGUUGCUUUAACUGGACGUCCUGAUGCUGCGUUCACAUCAUGUGGAAACUGCUACGACCUCACAACUUUACAGUAACGUCCAGAUGUUGUAAAAACGCAACAUGAGGACGCACACAGUGAAUUUCCUUCAACACGGCUGAUAAUAAAAGUGCAUGUGUGAACCCGUGUCUUUCAGCAGCUCUGCCUCACUUACACAACACCUUACCUGCAUAGUAUCAGUGAUCAUUCUAUUACUUGAAUAUAGUGCUAUGAACUCUGUUUACAAAAUGCUGUCACGAGACACAGUGUUGUCUUCUACAGGCUGCUUGGUAAGUUCAGUUCAUCCACCUGGUGUAUCCAUUUAAUAACACACUCAAACCGUAUAAAUAUCAAACCUGCUGUUGCUUUUUUAUACUGUAUAUGCCUUAAUUCAUAUGUUU